AAGGUCACACCCGUUCCCAUACCGAACACGGAAGUUAAGCUUCUCAGCGCCGAUGGUAGUUAGGGGCUGUCCCCUUGUGAGAGUAGGACGCUGCCGGGC
rnacentral:rRNA from 1 species